rnacentral:rRNA from 1 species
GACGAACGCUGGCGGCGUGCUUAACACACGCAAGUCGAACGGUGAAGCGAGUGCUUGCACUCGUGGAUCAGUGGCGAACGGGUGAGUAACACGUGAGUAACCUGCCCAUCACUCUGGGAUAAGCACUGGAAACGGUGUCUAAUACUGGAUACGACCAACCCUUGCAUGGGGUGUUGGUGGAAAGAUUUAUCGGUGAUGGAUGGACUCGCGGCCUAUCAGCUUGUUGGCGGGGUAAUGGCCCACCAAGGCGACGACGGGUAGCCGGCCUGAGAGGGUGACCGGCCACACUGGGACUGAGACACGGCCCAGACUCCUACGGGAGGCAGCAGUGGGGAAUAUUGCACAAUGGGCGAAAGCCUGAUGCAGCGACGCCGCGUGAGGGAUGACGGCCUUCGGGUUGUAAACCUCUUUCAGCAGGGAAGAAGCGAAAGUGACGGUACCUGCAGAAGAAGCACCGGCUAACUACGUG